AGUCAGGGUAGCUUCAUCCAUAGCAAUAAUCACUCGGUUCACCCGGUGGAAACUCAAGCUUUCAACCGUCCAAAUCAAUGCUUGAAACUUAGCUUCAUCGAGUGAUGGUAUGUUAGAGAAAGCUCUUUGACUAUGCAAUAUGACUGCCCAUUUCGUUUCUUAACACCCAAACGAUCCUCCACUCCUCUGCGUGUUCUUGUCCACAUCUACUCCAACAUUGCACUUAAGCCAACCUCAGUUUGGAGGCGUCCAUCUUCGUUCUUCGACCCCCACCAUUGUUUUCUCCUUCUCCUCCAGCUCUUUCUCAUGUUUUUGAGCUAGCAGCCAGGACUCCACUUCCUACGAUAUCUUGUCAAUCAGAUAGUGGAUAUUAGAGAAGUGAGAGACUUUGUCAUACCCAUUCAUCGGAUGCGGGACAUUCGCCAGAGCCCAAACUUGUCUAGCUAUGGAGCAUAUCAAUGGACCUACUUUAUAUUAACAACUUUUUCUCUUUUACCUUCAAUCUCUCCUCCAGAUUUUCUUCUUCGAUGUCUGCAUCUAUGCUUCAAAAGUUUACAUUAUUCUUCUCUAUGGCUUUGGUCUAAAAUACAAAAUUACUCUUUAUAGCUCUGGUCUGUAAUAGUUUUUUCUUUUCUAAUAAGACGUCAUUGCGAUGAUCAUAUGCUAUUAAAUUUCUUAUCCUUCGCUUUUGUGAUUUUAGUUGCAUUUGACAAGGAUUUUUAAGCUUAAUUAUUUGAUAAUAAUGAUGCACGAACUGAAGUAUAUCAUUACUAGCGAAAAACCCUGACCGACAUAAAUAAGAUUCAUUUUUAGCAGAUGAUGGAUUCGAUUACUCAUCUCCAAACUUGAGCUUGACCGGAGUUUGACGGAGCUGAUGUUGGACCAAAUCUUGACUAAGCUGGACCUCGAUGGAGCUAAUUCUGGACCGGAGCUUAACAUAGUGAUUCCAGAUCGGAGCUUGACGGAGCUCUUGCCGUGUAAAGACAGUGACAACGACCGGAGUUUGCCUUAAAUAAUUCACAGUCUCCGCUCGUCGUCUUGUUUUUUACGCCGGUGCACCGGAAACUCGAAGCCAACGUCGUCUACAAGCUCGAAUCUGUUGUCGUCAACAAGCUCUGAUAUGUUUUCCAAGUUUCUUGUUAUUGCUAUUUUAGGUCCUUCAUAUUUUGAUUAUCUACAAUUUGGCCCUGCAACUUCGAAAUGUUAAACGUAAAAAAACCAAAAACGUUAUA